GAUGAACGCUGGCGGCGUGCCUAAUACAUGCAAGUCGAGCGAACAGACGAGGAUCUUGCUCCUCUGACGUUAGCGGCGGACGGGUGAGUAACACGUGGAUAACCUACCUAUAAGACUGGGAUAACUUCGGGAAACCGGAGCUAAUACCGGAUAAUAUAUUGAACCGCAUGGUUCAUUAGUGAAAGACGGUUUUGCUGUCACUUAUAGAUGGAUCCGCGCCGCAUUAGCUAGUUGGUAAGGUAACGGCUUACCAAGGCAACGAUGCGUAGCCGACCUGAGAGGGUGAUCGGCCACACUGGAACUGAGACACGGUCCAGACUCCUACGGGAGGCAGCAGUAGGGAAUCUUCCGCAAUGGGCGAAAGCCUGACGGAGCAACGCCGCGUGAGUGAUGAAGGUCUUCGGAUCGUAAAACUCUGUUAUUAGGGAAGAACAAAUGUGUAAGUAACUAUGCACGUCUUGACGGUACCUAAUCAGAAAGCCACGGCUAACUACGUG
rnacentral:rRNA from 1 species